GACGAACGCUGGCGGCGUGCCUAAUACAUGCAAGUAGAACGCUGAAGAGAGGAGCUUACUCUUCUUGGAUGAGUUGCGAACGGGUGAGUAACGCGUAGGUAACCUGCCUUGUAGCGGGGGAUAACUAUUGGAAACGAUAGCUAAUACCGCAUAACAAUGGAUAACACAUGUCAUUUAUUUGAAAGGGGCAAUUGCUCCACUACAAGAUGGACCUGCGUUGUAUUAGCUAGUAGGUGAGGUAAUGGCUCACCUAGGCGACGAUACAUAGCCGACCUGAGAGGGUGAUCGGCCACACUGGGACUGAGACACGGCCCAGACUCCUACGGGAGGCAGCAGUAGGGAAUCUUCGGCAAUGGGGGCAACCCUGACCGAGCAACGCCGCGUGAGGGAAGAAGGUUUUCGGAUCGUAAAGCUCUGUUGUAAGUCAAGAACGGGUGUGAGAGUGGAAAGUUCACACUGUGACGGUAGCUUACCAGAAAGGGACGGCUAACUACGUG
rnacentral:rRNA from 1 species